AGUGAACGCUGGCGGUAGGCCUAACACAUGCAAGUCGAACGGCAGCACAGGAGAGCUUGCUCUCUGGGUGGCGAGUGGCGGACGGGUGAGGAAUACAUCGGAAUCUACCUUUUCGUGGGGGAUAACGUAGGGAAACUUACGCUAAUACCGCAUACGACCUUCGGGUGAAAGCAGGGGACCUUCGGGCCUUGCGCGGAUAGAUGAGCCGAUGUCGGAUUAGCUAGUUGGCGGGGUAAAGGCCAACCAAGGCGACGAUCCGUAGCUGGUCUGAGAGGAUGAUCAGCCACACUGGAACUGAGACACGGUCCAGACUCCUACGGGAGGCAGCAGUGGGGAAUAUUGGACAAUGGGCGCAAGCCUGAUCCAGCCAUACCGCGUGGGUGAAGAAGGCCUUCGGGUUGUAAAGCCCUUUUGUUGGGAAAGAAAAGCAGCCGGUUAAUACCCGGUUGUUCUGACGGUACCCAAAGAAUAAGCACCGGCUAACUUCGUG
rnacentral:rRNA from 1 species